rnacentral:rRNA from 1 species
AUAACCCUCGGAAACGGGGGCUAAUACCGGAUAGGACCUUUCACCGCAUGGUGGGGGGUGGAAAGUUUUUUCGGCCUGGGAUGGGCUCGCGGCCUAUCAGCUUGUUGGUGGGGUGACGGCCUACCAAGGCGACGACGGGUAGCCGGCCUGAGAGGGCGACCGGCCACACUGGGACUGAGACACGACCCAGACUCCUACGGGAGGCAGCAGUGGGGAAUAUUGCACAAUGGGCGAAAGCCUGAUGCAGCGACGCCGCGUGAGGGAUGACGGCCUUCGGGUUGUAAACCUCUUUCAGCUCCGACGAAGCGCAAGUGACGGUAGGAGCAGAAGAAGCGCCGGCCAACUACGUGCCAGCAGCCGCGGUAAGACGUAGGGCGCGAGCGUUGUCCGGAUUUAUUGGGCGUAAAGAGCUCGUAGGCGGCUUGUCGCGUCGACUGUGAAAACCCGCAGCUUAACUGUGGGCCUGCAGUCGAUACGGGCAGGCUAGAGUUCGGUAGGGG